GUCACUGUAGCACAAUGGAUAGCGCGUUGGACUUUUAAUCCAAAGGUCGUGGGUUCAAAUUCCACCUGAAACA